AUCAUUUAAAGAAAGCGUAAUAGCUCACUGGUCGAGUCGGCCUGCGCGGAAGAUGUAACGGGGCUAAACCAUGCACCGAAGCUGCGGCAGCGACACUCAGGUGUUGUUGGGUAGGGGAGCGUUCUGUAAGCCUGUGAAGGUGGCCUGUGAGGGUUGCUGGAGGUAUCAGAAGUGCGAAUGCUGACAUAAGUAACGAUAAAGCGGGUGAAAAGCCCGCUCGCCGGAAGACCAAGGGUUCCUGUCCAACGUUAAUCGGGGCAGGGUGAGUCGACCCCUAAGGCGAGGCCGAAAGGCGUAGUCGAUGGGAAACGGGUUAAUAUUCCCGUACUUGGUGUUACUGCGAAGGGGGGACGGAGAAGGCUAUGUUGGCCGGGCGACGGUUGUCCCGGUUUAAGCGUAUAGGUGUGUGUUCCAGGUAAAUCCGGUUCACUUUAACACUGAGGCGUGAUGACGAGGCGCUACGGUGCUGAAGCAACAAAUGCCCUGCUUCCAGGAAAAGCCUCUAAGCAUCAGGUAACAUCAAAUCGUACCCCAAACCGACACAGGUGGUCAGGUAGAGAAUACCAAGGCGCUUGAGAGAACUCGGGUGAAGGAACUAGGCAAAAUGGUGCCGUAACUUCGGGAGAAGGCACGCUGACAUGUAGGUGAAGUGAUUUACUCAUGGAGCUGAAGUCAGUCGAAGAUACCAGCUGGCUGCAACUGUUUAUUAAAAACACAGCACUGUGCAAACACGAAAGUGGACGUAUACGGUGUGACGCCUGCCCGGUGCCGGAAGGUUAAUUGAUGGGGUCAGCGCAAGCGAAGCUCCUGAUCGAAGCCCCGGUAAACGGCGGCCGUAACUAUAACGGUCCUAAGGUAGCGAAAUUCCUUGUCGGGUAAGUUCCGACCUGCACGAAUGGCGUAAUGAUGGCCAGGCUGUCUCCACCCGAGACUCAGUGAAAUUGAACUCGCUGUGAAGAUGCAGUGUACCCGCGGCAAGACGGAAAGACCCCGUGAACCUUUACUAUAGCUUGACACUGAACAUUGAGCCUUGAUGUGUAGGAUAGGUGGGAGGCUUUGAAGUGUGGACGCCAGUCUGCAUGGAGCCGACCUUGAAAUACCACCCUUUAAUGUUUGAUGUUCUAACGUGGACCCGUAAUCCGGGUUGCGGACAGUGUCUGGUGGGUAGUUUGACUGGGGCGGUCUCCUCCUAAAGAGUAACGGAGGAGCACGAAGGUUGGCUAAUCCUGGUCGGACAUCAGGAGGUUAGUGCAAUGGCAUAAGCCAGCUUGACUGCGAGCGUGACGGCGCGAGCAGGUGCGAAAGCAGGUCAUAGUGAUCCGGUGGUUCUGAAUGGAAGGGCCAUCGCUCAACGGAUAAAAGGUACUCCGGGGAUAACAGGCUGAUACCGCCCAAGAGUUCAUAUCGACGGCGGUGUUUGGCACCUCGAUGUCGGCUCAUCACAUCCUGGGGCUGAAGUAGGUCCCAAGGGUAUGGCUGUUCGCCAUUUAAAGUGGUACGCGAGCUGGGUUUAGAACGUCGUGAGACAGUUCGGUCCCUAUCUGCCGUGGGCGCUGGAGAACUGAGGGGGGCUGCUCCUAGUACGAGAGGACCGGAGUGGACGCAUCACUGGUGUUCGGGUUGUCAUGCCAAUGGCACUGCCCGGUAGCUAAAUGCGGAAGAGAUAAGUGCUGAAAGCAUCUAAGCACGAAACUUGCCCCGA
rnacentral:rRNA from 1 species